rnacentral:rRNA from 1 species
AUUGAACGCUGGCGGCAUGCCUUACACAUGCAAGUCGAACGGUAACGCGGGGCAACCUGGCGACGAGUGGCGAACGGGUGAGUAAUGCAUCGGAACGUGCCCAGUAGUGGGGGAUAGCCCGGCGAAAGCCGGAUUAAUACCGCAUACGACCUACGGGUGAAAGGGGGGGAUCGCAAGACCUCUCGCUAUUGGAGCGGCCGAUGUCAGAUUAGGUAGUUGGUGGGGUAAAGGCCUACCAAGCCGACGAUCUGUAGCUGGUCUGAGAGGACGACCAGCCACACUGGGACUGAGACACGGCCCAGACUCCUACGGGAGGCAGCAGUGGGGAAUUUUGGACAAUGGGCGCAAGCCUGAUCCAGCCAUGCCGCGUGCGGGAAGAAGGCCUUCGGGUUGUAAACCGCUUUUGUCAGGGAAGAAAUCUUCUGGGUUAAUACCUCGGGAGGAUGACGGUACCUGAAGAAUAAGCACCGGCUAACUACGUGCCAGCAGCCGCGGUAACAC